rnacentral:rRNA from 1 species
GAUGAACGCUAGCGGCAGGCUUAACACAUGCAAGUCGAGGGGCAACACGGGUAGCAAUACCUGGUGGCGACCGGCGCAAGGGUGCGUAACGCGUGAGCAACAUACCCUAUACAGGGGGAUAAUCCAGGGAAACUUGGUCUAAUAUCCCAUAGGAUUUACAGAUGUCAUCAUCUAUAAAUUAAAGCUUCGGUGGUAUAGGAUUGGCUCGCGUGACAUUAGCUAGAUGGUGGGGUAACGGCCUACCAUGGCCAUGAUGUCUAGGGGUUCUGAGAGGAAGACCCCCCACACUGGGACUGAGACACGGCCCAGACUCCUACGGGAGGCAGCAGUGAGGAAUAUUGGACAAUGGAUGGAAAUCUGAUCCAGCCAUGCCGCGUGCAGGAAGACGGCCCUAUGGGUUGUAAACUGCUUUUAUAUGGGAGCAAUAAGGUCUACGCGUAGACCGAUGAGAGUACCAUAUGAAUAAGCAUCGGCUAACUCCG